GAUGAAGAACGUAGCGAAAUGCGAUAAGUAAUGUGAAUUGCAGAAUUCAGUGAAUCAUCGAAUCUUUGAACGCACAUUGCGCCCGUCAGUAUUCUGGCGGGCAUGCCUGUUCGAGCGUCAUUACGCCCCUCAAGUCCCCUGUGGACUUGGUGUUGGGAUCGGCGAGGCUGGUUUUCCAGCACAGCCGUCCCUUAAAUUAAUUGGCGGUCUCGCCGUGGCCCUCCUCUGCGCAGUAGUAAAACACUCGCAACAGGAGCCCGGCGCGGUCCACUGCCGUAAAACCCCCCAACUUUUUAUAGUUGACCUCGAAUCAGGUAGGACUACCCGCUGAACUUAAGCAUAUCAAUAAGCGGAGGA
rnacentral:misc_RNA from 1 species